rnacentral:rRNA from 1 species
AUGAUACAAUAUUGGUGGGGUGUGGAAAAUGGUAGAAGGAAAAUGGCUUGGGUUGCAUGGGAUAAAUUAACUCUUCCAAAGUCUAAAGGUGGGCUGGGUUUCCGUGAUAUGAGAGCCUAUAAUCAGGCGUUGCUUGCCAAGCAAGCUUGGCGUCUCUUGAUGACACCGAAGUCCUUGUGUGCAAGACUCCUUCGUGCCAAAUACUUCCCCAAUGGCAAUCUGGUGGACACGGUUUUCCCAAGCAACUCGUCAGCAGUUUGGAAAGGAACCGAGUAUGGACUAGAGCUAGUCAAGAAAGGGAUGCUAUGGCGAGUCGGCAAUGGCGCAAAUAUUCAUGUCUGGAGGGACCCAUGGAUUCCACAUGGUCCACCCUACACUCCCAUCCUACCGAAGAGGAACUGUCGUCUCAAUCGAGUUAGUGAUUUUCUGGAUGAUUGUGGUAAUUGGAAGUGA